GUAGUAUUCCCUCCGUCCCAAAAUUCUUGUCUUACAUUUGUUUAGAUACGGAUGUAUCUAAAACUAAGAUGUAACUAGAUACAUCCGUAUUUAGACAAAUUUAAGACAAGAAUUUUGGGCCGGAGGGAGUACAAA
rfam:Triticum aestivum genome assembly, contig: Triticum_aestivum_CS42_TGACv1_scaffold_050115_1BS